CCUUUUGUAGAAUGAACCGGCGAGUUACGAUUUGAUGCAAGGUUAAGCAGUAAAUGUGGAGCCGUAGCGAAAGCGAGUCUGAAUAGGGCGUUUAGUAUUUGGUCGUAGACCCGAAACCAGGUGAUCUACCCUUGGUCAGGUUGAAGUUCAGGUAACACUGAAUGGAGGACCGAACCGACUUACGUUGAAAAGUGAGCGGAUGAACUGAGGGUAGCGGAGAAAUUCCAAUCGAACCUGGAGAUAGCUGGUUCUCUCCGAAAUAGCUUUAGGGCUAGCCUCAAGUGAUGAUUAUUGGAGGUAGAGCACUGUUUGGACGAGGGGCCCCUCUCGGGUUACCGAAUUCAGACAAACUCCGAAUGCCAAUUAAUUUAACUUGGGAGUCAGAACAUGGGUGAUAAGGUCCGUGUUCGAAAGGGAAACAGCCCAGACCACCAGCUAAGGUCCCAAAAUAUAUGUUAAGUGGAAAAGGAUGUGGCGUUGCCCAGACAACUAGGAUGUUGGCUUAGAAGCAGCCAUCAUUUAAAGAGUGCGUAAUAGCUCACUAGUCGAGUGACACUGCGCCGAAAAUGUACCGGGGCUAAACAUAUUACCGAAGCUGUGGAUUGUCCUUUGGACAAUGGUAGGAGAGCGUUCUAAGGGCGUUGAAGCAUGAUCGUAAGGACAUGUGGAGCGCUUAGAAGUGAGAAUGCCGGUGUGAG
rnacentral:rRNA from 1 species